CAAACUAGAGCUCGUUGAGUAUUUUAUUUACAUUAAAAUGGAAUUUUAUAAAUUGGUUUGAA
rnacentral:tRNA from 1 species